UUUCUGUCUAAUUGCAGUUCACAAAAAGGAAGUUAACAGCCCGAGAAUGUGAGCAAACCAUGUCAAAUGAUGAAGUGAAUGCAUCCUGUAGACGAAAGUCCUCUAAAACUUCCAAGGUGACAGAUAAAGCCAAGGAAAAAUCUAUUCCUACAAGUACUGGGUCCUUACCAAGUUCAUCACUUUGUCACAACAGAAGUAAACGCAUUCCUAGAACCAAAUUUGUUGGACGGCGUAUCAGUCAUCAACGGGAAGAUCAAACCAAAAGCAAAAAAUGGUACGUCGGAACUGUAACUGGUACAUUGUCUGGAAACGAUGGAGCUCCAACAACUGAGUAUGAAGUGUUGUACGAUGGUGAACAAGAUCCUUGGUGUGUAAAAGGUCUCCUGCAAGAUUACAGAUCUUCAUCUCUCAAAUUCAUUGAUGUGUGAACAUAACAACAGCUUGUUUAUGAUCAGUUUGGCUUGUGAAUAGAUACAGUAAUAGUAAAUCAUUAGGGACUGGAUUCUCACCCAUGAUUCAUGUUGAUGGUUUGAGGACUUUCGCUUUGUCAGUUUUAAAUCAUUGCAACUUUUACAACUUAUUAACCUGAAAGUGCACUACAAUGUAUAUGAUGUCCAUGGUAAUUAUGAGUGACUUUCUCAUCAUCUACGAAGAGGAUGCUUGGAAAAUAGUUGCACUGGUUUGAGUGUAUUUGAUCAUGUAGGAUAUAUACAUAUAUACCCAAGAACUCAUCCUUGUAUUCUUGAAAAAACAAAACUUGCAACCUUGGUUUCACUUCCACCACACCAUAUGGAUCCAACUUCAUUCACCACUGUCAUUGAAAGGAUAUAAUACACCAUCUUGGUGUGAUUUGUGCAAUUACAUUGCUGAAUUGUGUGGUUCAGUAUGAUUGGAUGAUCAACAUUGGAAAAGGACAAUAAAUAGGGAAUGUGUCGUCCCAUCGAAUGGACUGUAAUCUUUGUGAUCAGUUGACAAGGAUUAACCAAGUGCUGAAAUACAAGAGUAUGGUACCGGUUUACCAAGAAAACAGACAUAGCCUGGCUUGUAAGAAACUGUGGAGGCUUUUAUUGGGACCAGAGAGAGGACAUUUGAGAGAUGCUAUCAACUACCAAUAUCUACCUUUAAAUAGAAAAGGCUACAAGGGGCAAACAAAUCAAUGGCUACGUGAGGAACGGAAAAACAAAGGAUAUGAGAAGGAAGAGAGUCUGCUUAUAGAGGAGGACAAGAAUCUGGAUGAACUUUAAAAUGAAGUAACACAGACCAGGCUGAGCUAGCCAAUCAAUUGUGUAAAUAUGUAAUACCAGGCAAUGGCAGGCAUGAAGUGAAGAAAGACAUGAUGGAGGUGGUGAAGAAGGCUACUAAACCUGUCAACUCAUUAGUUAUACAGAAUUAUGUUACAUUACAUUCAACAAAGAUGUUUAGCAAGCUCAUAUGAAGCAUGCCCAUCAAGAGGUACACUGUUGAGCUAGCAGUAAUGUAAUGCAGAUUUCAUGAAUUCUCACUUUGAGGAGUAAUACCUAGGUUUGGCCAUUUUUGUGACUUAAAAUUAUUCCCUGCCACAUCUUAUCACAAAGUAACUUAUAAGAAGAAACUGUUGGCAUCUACAGCAAUUUAUUGAAGAUAUUGAGAAACUACAUGUCAAGACAAACAUUUUGGUAUAUUACAUGACAAGUUUUGUCCAAACAU